AANUUUAUGAUAAUAAUUUUCUUUCAGGCCGACGAUUUUUGCUGCAGUGCCUCGUAUUCUUAAUCGAGUAUAUGAUAAGGUAAUGGCCCAGGUCUCGGAGAGUAAAUUCAAAUCAUGGCUAUUUGAAAAAGCUCUCAAAUCAAAAGAGAAUGCCUUAAAAAAGAAUGUCUUUCGUGGUGAUACGCUAUGGGACAAGGUUGUAUUCAAGAAAAUUCAGAUGUUAUUUGGCGGUAGACUACGUUUGGUCACGUGUGGAUCCGCCCCUCUGUCUGC